GCGACCACAGAGCAUCACCCCAGCCUCUGCGGUGUCACAUCCAUCCCAGGGUACGCCUCUGGUCCACAGGUGCAUCAGGACCUGGCUCACCUGAGACCUGCAACAAGAAUGGCUUCAACAAGAACAAGGUUUCUUUCUCCUGAAAAGAUGGCCAAAUGCCAGUUCAGAAACUGAAGUUCUAUUUCUAAAGAGGAAGGAGAGUAUGGAUGUGGGGGCCCAGCAGUUUCUGCCACAUGAAACCUUUUCCUCUGAGAUGGCCUCGCACACUGAAGGAAGUCACCUGCAAUUCAUCGAGGAAGGAGGCUGUCCCUUCACUAUGCAAAUGCCUGUAACCCAGCAAAGUAAUCUUCUAAGGGAGGUGCUAUCCUUGUGGCUUGUAAAAGCUGGAGCAUGCGGAGACUGAUUGACUUCCCUGCAGGCAGGAGGCUGGUGAAGGAAUUCAACCCCUGACACCAGAUCCCAGCGUCAAUUCUCAAAAUGUGGUCCUUGGGCCAGGAGCUCAGUAUCACUUGGAACUUGUUAGAAAUGCUAAUUCCCAGGCUGUCCGAUCAGAAGUUCUGGAGGUGAGGCCCAGCGAUGUGUGUUUGAACAAGCCUAUCAGGAUCUACCCUAUUG